rnacentral:rRNA from 1 species
CGUCUAUAUACGUAUAGCAUAUCAAUAAGCGGAGGAAAAGAAACUAACAAGGAUUCCCUUAGUAACGGCGAGUGAAGCGGGAAGAGCUCAAAUUUGAAAUCUUCAAGGGUUCUACCUUGACGAAUUGUAGUUUAAAGAAGUGUUUUCUGUUAGUGGAGUGGCAAAAGUUCUUUGGAAUAGGACAUCAUAGAGGGUGAGAAUCCCGUAUUUGGUCAUUCCUUCUAGCUUUGUGAUACACUUUCAAAGAGUCGGAUUGUUUGGGAAUGCAGUCCAAAAUGGGUGGUAAAUUUCAUCUAAAGCUAAAUAUUGGCGAGAGACCGAUAGCGAACAAGUACCGUGAGGGAAAGAUGAAAAGAACUUUGAAAAGAGAGUUAAACAGUACGUGAAAUUGUCAAAAGGGAAGCGUUUGACACCAGUGUUGUUUUUCCGUAAAAUCAAUUGAGAAUGUUUUAUUUUUGAGGAGUUAUGACUUCAUCGGCUUGCUUCUCUCUUUAUGAAACUUUCUUAAUGCACUUUUCGGUUAACAAGUCAACAUCAAUUUCUUUUGUUGUAAAAGAGUAUGAGGAAGGUGGCUUUCUUUUCGGAGAAAGUGUUUAUAGCCUUGUACUUCUGCAAUCGGAGAGAUUGAGGUCUGCAGCGUAGAUCCUUCGGGGUUAGAUACAUUUGUGCUAAGUUAUAGCUUUUCAUAGACAACUUGUUGACUAUGUUUAGUCUUGUAGCUUACUCGCUGAUGCUAUUUUACCUACGCUUAGGAUGUUGACGAGACUGUCGAUCUC